GGGCUAAAAAACUUCUGGGCACCUUUAAUAUUACUCUGAUAUGUGAUCUUCAUUCAUAGAUUUAGGAAAUGAUGGAUUUCAGCUGGAGCUUGAGAAAAUAUAUAUGCAAAUAUUUGUAUCCCAAUUCAGGAUUCCCCUGAAUUCUAUCCACAGAUCCUUCAGAAGUCAGAGCUCCAAUGCAAUUGUUCUACACAUGAAUGAACAACAACAGAUUCCAAGAGCUGCACAUAAGUCACCUUUGCACUUGCUGAGCCCACACGGUCAUUUCUGCAGACAGAUCUAAGGCCCUUUGUAUACUGUAAGGACAUGGAAGGUGCUGCUGGGAGCCCAGGCUGGCCACAGCAGGCUGUCAACCUCAACGAGGAAGAAGGGACACCUGAGAACCUUCAAAGGCGACACUGGAAUCCCGGUGGGACAAGCUUCAUUGGAUUCUGGUCAAAGAUUAUAAUUACUUUGGCAUUUACCAGGAAAAAGGAGCGAAGAAAAGCAACAAGAAACAUAAAAAUUGGAACUCACUCCACCCACCCUGCAGUCUAGACUGACGCAGACUGAACACAGGCAUUCAACUGCUCCCUAAAAAAUGUUCUCAUGUGGGAGGAAAGAGAAAUUGUGGACAUAUGCAAAGAUGAUGUCAUUCCGGCAUCUGAAUCAAAAAUCUACGUUUUUAAGCGCUAUCCCUAACAAUUACUAAACAUAAUGGUGAUUGGAGAAGAAAAAAGAAGUUGAAGCACAAAAGAAAAUGCAUGAUUCUUUCUCCAGAGAAGUCGGGUUUCAUUACUUGACUUGUUUCUCUCAUUUUAGCUGCGUCAUCUAGAUCUUCCUAGAACUUUCUUCCUGACCUUCUGUAUCUUCAUCUAUAUUGUUCUUACUAGGUUUCAUGUUUACAAUAACUUUCUUGUUCUAAACUUCCCUAAACCCAAAAGGUACAUCCACAAUUUAAAAUUCAGGAAAAGGUCAUUAUAAAGGAUUUAUCUCUAGGUUUUCAGUUUUCUCUACUCUACUCCUAAAUUCUGUAUAAAUCCUAAGCUCAAUUCUAUUUUUGGUGCACAGCUGGCUAGACCUAGAAGCCCACGUUAUAUAACUUCUCCCUGGAAUGAGACAAUAUACAUUUAAAAAUGUAGUCAGAUUUUAUUAUUAUUAUUAUUUUUUUGUAGUCAGAUUUUAAAGUCUCAGGACACCUAAGUCUUUCUAUAGGAAAAUAAUUACAGUAAUCUGAAAAACAUUAGCUGGAGGAGAAGAAAUAAAACUGAGACUAAUGUGAGCAAUAUAACUGAAAUUCAACCAGGUCUGGACUUGGAACCCUCAUGCUCCAACUCAAAAAAAAGAGCAGGGCCGGGGGUUUAGCUCAGUGGCACCGCACCUGCCUUGCAAGCACAAGGUCCUGAGUUUGAUCCCUGGUACCCUGAUACAGGGUAUCAAAUAUGUGUUAACGCUGGAAUCACUUGGAGAACUUUGGAAUAAGAGGCUUAGAUUUACAGGAUCCUGGGCAGGACAGAAUUUCAAUACCAGAAAGGGGUAGUGACACCAAGAAGUUGGAAAUCAGAGGUUAAAACUGAGACUAACACAUUAUUAAAAGGUAAAACUAGCCCUAGAGAGUAAUGGUGGAGGAAGUGAUCCUACAAAUCCACAGGGGGCGGGGGGCAUCUCCCUGGGCCAGAGACACACAUAGCUCAGUGGUGGAGCAAUAACCUAGCAUGUGUGAGGCUCUGGUUCUGUCCCCAACACCAACAAAAAAGAAACAAAGAAAAACAAAACAAUUCCCCAGUUGAUUCUGAUGCUCAGACUUGAAAGUCACAGAGGACACAGCUUUUGGGAUGCAAGGUCAAUUUCAUCACAACACCACAAGACCUUGAACAAUAGUCUCUCUGAACAUUAGUUCUUUUCCUAGUAGGUAGAUAAUAAAUAUUGCAAGAACCGGUAUUUCUAUUUACGUAAAAUGGAUUAUAUAAGGCACCAAACGCUGUUCCUGGCAGUGAGCAGGUGUUCAAUCUCCCGGAGAUUUUAUUAAAGGGUCUCUAACAUCCACCACUUAGGCACUGUUUUCAUAAACAUCAGGACACACUUUGUGGCGCCACAAUCUUACUUUUUCUGCUAGAAAUUAACCAUUUUCCAUCUUCGUGGCUUCCUACAGAAAUCUGAGCCUCACACAAUUUUCUCCUUUGUCCAGCAAUAAUUUAAAACAAAGUAAAGACCUCCACACACCCCCUUCUGACACAGACACCAACCAGCAUCUAUUUCUAGGGGUGUCUUAAGGAAACAGUCUUUUUAAAGCAAAGUCUGAGUGAUUUAAAGCGAAUGUCACUUUUCAGAUAAGCAACUUUUCCUCUAUUACUCUCUGGAGUCCUGAUCAGGUCAAUCUCAAGUUUCAAAUCGCCUUCCCACGACCUGACCACUGGACCAACGUCUCCCCAGGGUGGUUUUAGAAUAUAACCAACUGCUAAGUAAGACACGGCUCUGUGAUCGUGCACGAAAGACGCCGACCUCGCCUCUUCUCUCUUUAUUAUUUUCGUAAUUUUGUAGCCUGGUCUGACUUCGCUCUAACUGGGGGCGGACUCAGGAGAGCCUGGAGCCGGGUCCCUUGCCGAGCCGGGUCCCUUG
rnacentral:lncRNA from 1 species